ensembl:lncRNA
GGGGAGAUGAAGAGAGGGGGAGAGAGGGGAGGUGAAGAGAGAGAGAGAGGGGUGAAGAGAGAGAGAGAGGGUGGAGGUGAAGAGAGAGAGAGAGGGAGAGAGAGAGAGGGUGGAGGUGAAGAUAGAGGGGGAGGUGAAGAGAGAGAGGGGAGGUGAAGAGAGAGAGGGGGAGGUGAAGAGAGAGAGGGGGAGGUGAAGAGAGAGAGAGGGGGAGAUGAAGAGAGAGAGAGGGGGAGAUGAAGAGAGAGAGAGGGGGAGAUGAAGAGAGGGAGGGGAGGUAAAGAGAGAAAGGGGAGGGGAGGUGAAGAGAGAGAGACGGGUGAAGAGAGAGAGAGGGUGGAGGUGAAGAGAGGUAGAGGAGGGGAAGCGAGAGGUGAAGAUGGAGAUAGGGGGAGGUAAAGAGAGGGGGUGAAGAGAUAGAGAGAGGGGUGAAGAGAGAGAGAGGGGU